GAUGAACGCUGACAGAAUGCUUAACACAUGCAAGUCAACUGUGGCGGACGGGUGAGUAACGCGUAAAGAAGUUGACUCACGGAUAGGAACAGCAUUUGGAAACGAAUGCUAAUACCUGAUACUGUGAGAGAGCUUUGCGUCCCAUUAGCUCGUGGGAGAGGUAACGGCUCACCAAGGCGAUGAUGGGUAGCCGGCCUGAGAGUGUGAUGGGCCACAAGGGGUCUGAGACACGGCCCUUACGCCUACUGGAGGCAGCAGUGGGGAAUAUUGGCCAAUGGACCAAAGUCUGAUCCAGCAAUUCGGUGUGCAAGAUGAAGUUUUCGGAAUGUAAAGUGCUUUCAUUUGGGAAGCGGUACCAACAGAAGAAGUGACGGCUAAAUACGUGCCAGCCGCCGCGGUAAUAC
rnacentral:rRNA from 1 species